UAGUUUAUGUAGUCGAAUUAU
rnacentral:piRNA from 1 species